GAUGAACGCUGGCGGCGUGCCUAAUACAUGCAAGUCGAGCGAAUGGAUUAAGAGCUUGCUCUUAUGAAGUUAGCGGCGGACGGGUGAGUAACACGUGGGUAACCUGCCCAUAAGACUGGGAUAACUCCGGGAAACCGGGGCUAAUACCGGAUAACAUUUUGAACCGCAUGGUUCGAAAUUGAAAGGCGGCUUCGGCUGUCACUUAUGGAUGGACCCGCGUCGCAUUAGCUAGUUGGUGAGGUAACGGCUCACCAAGGGAACGAUGCGUAGCCGACCUUAGAGGGUGAGCGGCCACACUUGGACUGAGACACGGGCCAAGCUCCUACGGGAGGACGCAGGAGGGAAUCUUCCGCAAUGGACGAAAGUCUGACGGAGCAACGCCGCGUGAGGGAUGAAGGCUUUCGGGUCGUAAAACUCUGUUGUUAGGGAAGAACAAGUGCUAGUUGAAUAAGCUGGCACCUUGACGGUACCUAACCAGAAAGCCACGGCUAACUACGUGCCAGCCGCCGCGGUAA
rnacentral:rRNA from 1 species